UACAGAGGGUGCAAGCGUUGUUCGGAAUCACUGGGCUUAAAGGGCGCGUAGGCGGCUACGUCAGCUCGUCGGAUAAUUCGUUCGCUACACGGAACGUGCCUGGGAUACUGCGUAGCUCGAGGGAGGUAGGGGCGGACGGAACUUCCGGUGGAGCGGUGAAAUGCGUUGAUAUCGGAAGGAACGCCGGUGGCGAAAGCGGUCCGCUGGACCUCUACUGACGCUGAGGCGCGAAAGCUAGGGGAGCAAACAGG
rnacentral:rRNA from 1 species